UACAGAGGUCUCAAGCGUUGUUCGGAUUCAUUGGGCGUAAAGGGUGCGUAGGCGGCGCGGUAAGUCGGGUGUGAAAUCUCGGAGCUUAACUCCGAAACUGCAUUCGAUACUGCCGUGCUUGAGGACUGGAGAGGAGACUGGAAUUUACGGUGUAGCGGUGAAAUGCGUAGAUAUCAGGAGGAACACCGGUGGCGAAGGCGGAUCUCGGGGCCAUUACUGACGCUGAGGAGCGAAAGCGUGGGGAGCGAACAGG
rnacentral:rRNA from 1 species